ACACCGCCGUCCGCGGGCUGAGCUUCAGUGACACCGAAGGGCACUGGCCAACAUGUCAAAACAGUUUUGAUUCCAUGAACCAAAGGGCGCACAAGGUCUAUUGCAAGCUCAGGUGAAGUCGUGGGACUCCAAAGGUAGUGGCUUUCUUGCUGCUGGUCGAUUUGCAUUACAGAGGCCGUUUACUUUCAAUUCCACUUUUACAAAAGUAGUCAAGCUCUGUAUUUCACAGGAAAUUGCUUUGGAGAUGAGGAAACAAACUCUUAUGGAGACCUAAGAGACUGAAGACAUCUGGCGUGGACUACUCUGAUGGUAAAAUUGAAAGUACACCUAAAUUUGCUUUGUUACAGGAUUCUCUUCAGAGGACAAGAGAAGAUGUUACAUUCUCCGCAUGAGGACAAUUCUGCAGCAUCAAAAUCGAAUAAUAUUUGUUUUCUGGCAGCAGAAUUUUGUAUCAUAUUUCUAAAGACAGUAAGCACUUGGGUGGACGUCAAUGAAUACUAAACACUAAUUGAUCUGAUACAGCCGUAUGCACAUACACAGAUAUACAUGGUGGCUUGU
rnacentral:lncRNA from 1 species